UCCAGACUCCUACGGGAGGCAGCAGUGAGGAAUAUUGGUCAAUGGGCGGGAGCCUGAACCAGCCAAGCCGCGUGAAGGAAGAAGGCGCCAAGCGUCGUAAACUUCUUUUGUCGGGGAACAAAGGGCGCCACGUGUGGCGUUGUGAGUGUACCCGAAGAAAAAGCAUCGGCUAACUCCGUGCCAGCAGCCGCGGUAAUACGGAGGAUCCGAGCGUUAUCCGGAUUCAUUGGGUUUAAAGGGUGCGUAGGUUGUUUUAUAAGUUAGCGGUGAAAUACCGAUGCUCAACAUCGGGGCUGCCGCUAAUACUGUAGGACUAGAGAUCGGAUGCAGCAGGCGGAAUGUGUAGUGUAGCGGUGAAAUGCAUAGAUAUUACACAGAACACCGAUUGCGAAGGCAGCUUGCUAGGCCGGAUCUGACACUGAUGCACGAAAGCGUGGGGAUCGAACAGGAUUAGAUACCCGCG
rnacentral:rRNA from 1 species